GUUUGUGGCUCAGUGGUAGAGCGCUUGCUUAGCAUGCGUAAGGCUCUGGGUUCGAUCCUCAGCAUCACA
rnacentral:tRNA from 1 species